GGCUACCUACGGGGCGCAGCAGUGGGGGAUAUUGCACAAUGGGGGAAACCCUGAUGCAGCGACGCCGCGUGGGUGAAGAAGCGCCUCGGCGCGUAAAGCCCUGUCAGCAGGGAAGAAAAUGACGGUACCUGAAGAAGAAGCCCCGGCUAACUACGUGCCAGCAGCCGCGGUAAUACGUAGGGGGCAAGCGUUAUCCGGAUUUACUGGGUGUAAAGGGUGCGCAGGCGGCGUGUCAAGUCAGCGGUAAAAUGUCGGGGCUCAACCCCGGCCGGCCGUUGAAACUGGCGUGCUCGAGUUGUAGAGAG
rnacentral:rRNA from 1 species